UACGUAGGUGGCAAGCGUUGUCCGGAAUUACUGGGCGUAAAGCGCGUGUAGGCGGCUAUGCAAGUCGGGCGUGAAAGCCCUCGGCUCAACCGAGGAAGUGCACUCGAAACUGCGUAGCUAGAGUCCCGGAGAGGAAGGUGGAAUACUUGGUGUAGAGGUGAAAUUCGUAGAUAUCAAGUGGAACACCGGUGGCGAAGGCGGCCUUCUGGACGGUGACUGACGCUGAGACGCGAAAGCGUGGGGAGCAAACGGG
rnacentral:rRNA from 1 species